UACGUAGGGGGCAAGCGUUAUCCGGAUUUACUGGGUGUAAAGGGAGCGUAGACGGCCAGACAAGUCUGAAGUGAAAAUCCAGCGCUUAACGUUGGAAGUGCUUUGGAAACUGCCGGGCUAGAGUGCAGGAGGGGCAGGCGGAAUUCCUAGUGUAGCGGUGAAGUGCGUAGAUAUUAGGAGGAACACCGGUGGCGAAGGCGGCUUACUGGACAGAAACUGACACUGAGGCUCGAAAGCGUGGGGAGCAAACAGG
rnacentral:rRNA from 1 species